GUAAGUUAGUAUUAGUAUAUGUUCGUGGAGAGGCUGAGGGAAAAUAUAAAAUUUCAAGUACAUGGUUAUUGGAAUUUGGUCCUAUACCUUAGGGUUAGGGUUAGGGUUAGGUGUAGGUUUUUGUUUAGGGUUUCAAUUAAUACACCUGACAUUUCGAGUGUGGCUAGGAUUGUUAGGGUUAGGGUUCUUCUUUUCGUAAGGGUCAUGGAUAGUGCAGAAGUAGCGGUACCUGAAAAUGACUCAGGGUUUGGCUAUUUUUAGGGCUAGGGUUAGGGUUAAGGUCAGGGUGAUAGAUAGCAUUGAAAUUGAAAUGCCUGUGUCGGUCAAAGUGGGUUGGAAAGUGAGUAUUAGGGUAAGUUCCUGUGGAAGAGGAGGGAUAAUGUCC
rnacentral:lncRNA from 1 species